rnacentral:lncRNA from 1 species
AGAACGUUACCGACUCAGUCUGGCACUUCACAGAUGCUCUUUAUUCGGAUGGGGUCUAGACUUUGACAGGUGACAUCACUGUAAGACAGCACACAUUUAUUCUGCUGUCACCUGAAGGCAACUCACAGGAUUCUGUGACGUCUCCAUUCCCUUCACUCAAACGUAUUUGGGAAGUUUUGAGUUGUUGCUCACUCUGAGCUCUAGAAGUAAAUGUCAAAGGCAAGGAAGCUGGAGGUAAGUUUUAGCCUCAGUAACUGCUGUGUUAUAUCCCUGAGAACUGCUGGAGCCAGAGCCUUAAAGGUAGGACUGAAAAUAACUGCUGCUGACAUUACCUUGCUUGAGUUCAAAAUGACUCCGUUGUGCUAAUUGCUCAGUACAAGCAGUGGCUAUUGCUCUCUGCUUGUGCGAUACAAUGAUCAGAACUGACUGGUAUUAAUUAACAGCCAGCACAAAAUCUUAAUUUUCAGUCUGAGAAUAGGCAGCUCCAGUUACUUGCCUUCCCCAGAAGCCACUGCAAAGACCAGAGGUCGGACGGGAGACCAGCGAACGCAGAAGAGGUAUUUUGUAGAUAACUGCAGGGAAAUGAGGGGUUGUGUCUGCAACAUGGAGCUCAGGUGAACUUGUCCAUCAGUCCCACAGCUCAGAAAGAGAUUCCUGGGUAGAGGGGGGGUGCAAGAAACAAUGUUACAGGCUUCACUGCUAAAGAGACAGAACAAAACUCAUUCAAGGAGCACAACCCUGCACACUGCUCCUGUUCUGUCGGUAUCUUUCCUGAAGCAGCAAUUUCCAAGCUGUGCUCCAGGAUGCAGUCUGCAGAGACACAGCUUUGUCAGUGCUCUCAAUUAAGUUUAAUGAGGGCUCACACUGCCCACUGAGUAUGAUGGGUUGUGUGGGCCAGAGAUGCCUGAGAACUGCUGAUCUGGAGACGGGCAUUGUUAGCGCUGUUUGUCUCAUGCAAAGUAAAUGCAAACCCGGGCAGUCAGCAUGUUUCAUGGAGAUGGUGUAGGGCCUCUCCCAUGGGCAGUGGGUGGAAUUCAGGCAGCUGCUAGUGAGGCAUGAUGGGCAGCACUAAUUCAGUAAACAAAUCUAUUCUCAGCUGUUUCCCCUCGACUUCCAAUUGCUCUUUAGAAUUCCAGGAUGACCUAAGGAAGGUGCUAACAUCCUACAUGGGCUGGAGCGCAAAUGCUAUUUUGUUUUACUCGUGUUCUGACCACGUGCAGCAUAUCUGAGCGUUGCAGCUACACCACAGCCAAUGGGCAGUGGUUCUCCUUUAGUGGUUAGUUAGGUUCCCAAUGCUUGUUCCUAUUGUUUGGAGACUUGUUUGGAACUUAUACAUGCACAGAACCCCAGUACUGUGUGAAAAACGUACAUUCAGAACUAACAACUUGUAACCAGUGUGCAGCACUGGUGUUUGUGUACAGCUCUUGCCUGUGGAAGGGGGAGCAGCUGACGGAGUACAGCGGCCCACUGUGUGGGGAGAAGGCAAGCUCAGCUGGUGCUCUGAGGGGAACAGAACCUCCUGUCCGGCGGGGAGCUGGAGUGUCUGCUGCAGUGGAGCACUUGAGUGAGUAGCCGCCUUCCACACCAACAAUGAACACGUGGGGAUCGAAGUGUGAAAAGGAGAGCGAUGUCACACCUACAGCCGCCUCUCCCCACGCGAGCUGGGAGAAAAACAGACACAUUAUGUAAGUGAUGGGGGCUUCUGCUGUGGGUAUGCAGCCCCAGCCAGCCCGUCACGGACCAAAGGAGCUGUUCUCCACGUGGUCUGUACCAGCUAUGAUGGUUUUAGCACUGCUGAGCCUUCAAGCCCUGCAGCAUCCACCUACAAUGUGAAUUACUAGUGCUGUAAGCAAGUUUUCUUCUUGGUCCCAGCAACUUUAAACCAUGGCAAAACCUCAGCUGCUGCCAGCCUCCAAAGGAAUGAUUUUCACUAUGGGAGGGAGAUGGGAUCAGGGGUUACUCUUUAUAUUCAUUAAGGAGCUUUUCCUGGUCCUUCUGUGAAAGGCUUCCUUCCAGCCUCUACAGUCAGAGCACAGCUGUCAGACAAACUCAUGAACUCACCUUCUUCAGCCGAGCGCUGCGAGGGAUCUGCUGAGCCACCAGGGCAAACCCUUCAGCCACGGCCAGCCUCCCAUCUCGCUCCUCCCUCCACACCAGGAUCUUACCAUCCGUUGAUGCACUCAACAGCUGGAUGUGGUUUCCAUGCUUGGCAUCAGACAGCCAGUGAACCUGAGAGACCGGAUCAGUGUGAGUAUCAUCCGUCAUCCCUGUCCGCCAGAUCAAGGGGUCUUCUGGUUUGCUGGUGUCCCACACCACCGUUUCCC